rnacentral:rRNA from 1 species
GACGAACGCUGGCGGCGUGCUUAACACAUGCAAGUCGAACGGAAAGGCCCUGCUUUUGUGGGGUGCUCGAGUGGCGAACGGGUGAGUAACACGUGAGUAACCUGCCCUUUACUUUGGGAUAACUUCAGGAAACUGGGGCUAAUACCGGAUAGGAGCUCCUGCUGCAUGGUGGGGGUUGGAAAGUUUCGGCGGUUGGGGAUGGACUCGCGGCUUAUCAGCUUGUUGGUGGGGUAGUGGCUUACCAAGGCUUUGACGGGUAGCCGGCCUGAGAGGGUGACCGGCGACAUUGGGACUGAGAUACGGCCCAGACUCCUACGGGAGGCAGCAGUGGGGAAUAUUGCACAAUGGGCGGAAGCCUGAUGCGGCGACGCCGCGUGCGGGAUGACGGCCUUCGGGUUGUAAACCGCUUUCGCCUGUGACGAAGCGUGAGUGACGGUAAUGGGUAAAGAAGCACCGGCUAACUACGUG